UACGUAGGGUGCAAGCGUUGUCCGGAAUUAUUGGGCGUAAAGAGCUCGUAGGCGGUCUGUUACGUCGGCUGUGAAAACCUGGGGCUCAACCCCGGGCCUGCAGCCGAUACGGGCAGACUAGAGUUCGGCAGGGGAGACUGGAAUUCCUGGUGUAGCGGUGAAAUGCGCAGAUAUCAGGAGGAACACCGGUGGCGAAGGCGGCGAGCUGGCCUGUACCUGACGCUGAGGCGCGACAGCGUGGGGAGCAAACAGG
rnacentral:rRNA from 1 species